GCAUUGGUGGUUCAGUGGUAGAAUUCUCGCCUGCCACGCGGGAGACCCGGGUCCGAUUCCCGUCCAAUGCA
rfam:Danio rerio chromosome 4, GRCz11 reference primary assembly.